rnacentral:rRNA from 1 species
CCUACGGGAGGCAGCAGUGGGGAAUAUUGCACAAUGGGGGAAACCCUGAUGCAGCGACGCCGCGUGGGUGAAGAAGCAUUUCGGCAUGUAAAGCUCUAUCAGCAGGGAAGAAGAUAGCCGUUACCUGACUAGGAAGCCCCGGCUAACUACGUGCCAGCAGCCGCGGUAAUACGUAGGGGGCAAGCGUUAUCCGGAUUUACUGGGUGUAAGGGGAGCGUAGACGGCGGUGCAAGUCUGAAGUGAAAGCCCGUGGCUCAACCGCGGAACUGCUUUGGAAACUGUAUAGCUGGAGUACUGGAGGGGCAGGCGGAAUUCCUAGUGUAGCGGUGAAAUGCGUAGAUAUUAGGAGGAACACCAGUGGCGAAGGCGGCCUGCUGGACAGAAACUGACGUUGAGGCUCGAAAGCGUGGGGAGCAAACAGGAUUAGAUACCCUGGUAGUC